rnacentral:rRNA from 1 species
UACGUAGGGUGCGAGCGUUGUCCGGAAUUAUUGGGCGUAAAGCGCUUGUAGGCGGUCUGUCGCGUCUGCCGUGAAAUUUCGGGGCUCAACCCCGAACUUGCGGUGGGUACGGGCAGACUAGAGUGUGGUAGGGGAGACUGGAAUUCCUGGUGUAGCGGUGAAAUGCGCAGAUAUCAGGAGGAACACCGGUGGCGAAGGCGGGUCUCUGGGCCGAUACUGACGCUGAGGAGCGAAAGCGUGGGGAGCGAACAGG